UAAAAAUUUAAUUUAAAAUAUUUAAGUAGUAUUAGUUAAGAUCUUUAAAUUUAAAAAAUUUGGCGGUAUUUUAGUCUAUUCAGAGGAACCUGUUUUGUAAUCGAUAAUCCACGAUGGAUCUUACUUAAAUUUGUUUUUAGUUUAUAUAUCGUCGUUAAAAGAAUAUUUUAUAAGAAUAAUAAUUUUCUUAAUUUUUAAUUUUAAAAUAUAUCAGAUCAAGAUGUAGCUUAUGUUUAAGUUUAUAAUGGGUUACAAUUAUUAUAUUAUUGGAAAUUAGUAUGUAAUUUAUUAUUUUAAAUUGGAUUUGAUAGUAAAUUUAUAUAGAUAAAUAAAUUGAUUAUAGCUCUAAAAUAUG
rnacentral:rRNA from 1 species